rnacentral:rRNA from 1 species
GAUGAACGCUGACGGAAUGCUUAACACAUGCAAGUCGAUGGGGAAGUGGUGCUUGCACCAUGGUAACCAUGGCGGACGGGUGAGUAACGCGUAAGGAACUUGCCUGCGGGACUGGGAUAACAGCAGGAAACUGCUGAUAAUACCGGAUAAGGUCAUUAAGCUGCAUAGCUUAGUGAUGAAAGGAGACGCCUGCGGAGAGCCUUGCGUCCUAUUAGCUAGUUGGAGGGGUAACGGCCCACCAAGGCGAAGAUAGGUAGCCGGCCUGAGAGGGUGGACGGCCACAAGGGGACUGAGAUGCGGCCCUUACUCCUACGGGAGGCAGCAGGGGGGAAUAUUGGACAAUGGGGGCAACCCUGAUCCAGCAAUUCUGUGUGCACGAAGACGGUUUUCGGAUUGUAAAGUGCUUUCAGCAGGGAAGAAGGAAGUGACGGUACCUGCAGAAGAAGCGACGGCUAAAUACGUG